rnacentral:lncRNA from 1 species
GUUCUGGGCUCCCGCCGGCCGCUCCCCCGUCACUGCCCUGUGCCUUUCAGGUCCUGGAGCGCCUGAACCUGAGUGAAUGCCGUGACAGCGUCCUGGAGUUCUUGUCAAAGAACCUGCAGAGCGAGUGCAGGGGGAGGCGUCGCUUGGCACUCAGAGGCCUCGUGGUGCUCGGCACCACCAGUGCCUCGAUGGCCAGAAGGAUGUGGAGCCUGCAUGAAAGGCUCGUGGAGCUCCUGCAGGAAAAUGACGGCGUCAUGCUCAGGAUGACCACGGUUCUCCUCAGGGGUUUAUUUCUCUGCAAUGGUGCCCCAAUAACCAGCGCCCUCGCCCUGCAGCUGGCUGAGGCGCUCCUGCCACUCUUUGACAACGAGGAUAGCCAGGUGCAGUUGAGCUCCAUGUUUAUCUUCCGAGACAUGCUGGAUCGUUUUCCGGAAGAGGAAAAAAAGGCCCUGAAGGAACACGUGCGCCAGAGCCUGCUGCCACUCUCCUUCCACUGCCAUGAUGAGAACCAGCGAGUGGCAGAGGUGAGGACUCGGCA